UCUUUUGUUUUUUGUUUUGUAUUGUUUUGUUUUUUCUUUCUUUCUGUUUUUUGUUUUGUUUUUUUUACAAGGAAGAGGUGCAUGAAGAACAUUCCUUUUUAAAAUGUCAUGGUAAAGUUCUAAUUACUUUAGAGAGUUGAGCUCUUUCUAAACAUCCUGGACCUGUAGGCCUCUCAGCAAAUGAGAGAUUCCCUGUGGAUUCAUGCAUUCCGAGUUGAGCUCAGAGUGUUGAUACACACUGCAGCUGUUUGUUUGGUCGCUCUACUCUGAGUACAAAGGUGUCCUUCUGAGGCCCUCCCCCAGAGCCUUUUACUCCACAUCUCCUUGAUACCCCAGAUGACACAGCUAAGUUUCUGUGUGUUCUGAGGGAAUUAAGUGGGACUUCCAAAGAUGUUCCUUUGACAAAUGCCAGCGGUUAUGACGUAAUCAUCUUCUCUAAAGAAAUAAGUAAUCGCUAGCUCUGACUUAAAAAAAAACAAAAAAAAACAAAACAAAAAACAAGCUCCAGCUAUAAAUUUCUAAUUGCCCCUGAAAACAGACAGGCAUGUUGAAAUGUUUCCUGAAAUUUCUCCUUCAGUGAUUAACACACGGACAGCCAGGUAAGCUCUCUGGAAUCUUUCACUUGCUUCAGAGGCCUUUGUUUCAGGGUUUACUGUAUCCUAAAACAGCAAUCUAGGGUACUACCAUCCCUGACACAUAGGGUCUGCAAAGACCCCACUGGGAUGUUACAUAAUGUCAUUUCAUUCUCACGGUGAGUGGGGACAAAUUGAAAUUGGCUUAUUCAUUUCUCUGUGUAUCAGGGAGUGUGUUGUUGUUGUUGUUGUUGUUUUCCCAGGUUGAGGUAGUGAGCUUUCUGCUAUGAUGAAUUUUCUGAGGCUGGGUACUUUAUAAAGGAAGGAGGCUUACUUAACCCACAGUCUGAGAGACAGAAUAUCUAAACAGCAUGGCACUCAUAUGACAAGGGGCCAGCCUAGCUGCCUCAUAUCCAGGCAGAUGGCAAUACCAGUGAACAUGCAUGCAAAAUUACUUACAGAGAUAGGAAGGCAGGGUACUGUGAAAGCCAGGUUUGUAUUUUGUAAUAGCCUGGUCUGACC
rnacentral:lncRNA from 1 species